CUUGGACUCCGACUCUGUGCAGCCCACAGAUGUGUUUUGUUUGGCCUGCAGAGUCAUACCAAAGUCAGGACAGUCCAAAUAACAACCCGGAGUUAUGCGUCCUCUUGAAAAAGCCGAAGACCCAGCGGUUCUGGUCUCGUCUCCCACCGUGGCGACGAACAGCUGGCACUGAGUAGCAGCUGCCCCAUAGUAUGGGGCCCCCAUUUCUCUGUUCCACCCUCCCUGCCAUUCCUCCUGCCUCUCCCCAGACUUCUUUAGCCAUUGACUUAACCUUCUUGGCCCUCGCAGUUUGCAACCCCCGUGUUAAACCAAUAAAUGCACCAAUAAAC
rnacentral:lncRNA from 1 species